rnacentral:rRNA from 1 species
UAAUAUAUUAGAAAUUAGGUAGUAAUGGAAUCUCAGAAACCUAAAGAACUUGGCGGUAUUUUAAAUAAUUGGAGGAACUUGCUAUUUAAUUGAAAUUCCACAACAUAUCUUCCCAAAUUUUUGUUUGUAUAUCGUUGUUUAAAGACAACAUUUAGAGGAGUAGUCAAAAUUAAUAGUUUUUAUAAAAUCAAAUCAAGGUGCAGCAUAAUUUGGUUAUAGUGAGUUACAAUAUGUAUUAUGUAAACGGAAAAUGACAUGAAAAUUAGAUAGAAGGUGGAUUCAAAAGUAAUAAAAUAUUAAGAAGUUUUUAUGAAUUAUAUUUUAAAAUAUGC